CGAAGCUCAGCCUUUUACAAGCUUUUCCCUGCCCUGCGCUUUUAUGGACGCCAGCGACACGCUGGGCUCCAACUGCGCAGCCUCCGAGGCCUGCUUCCUCAGUGCCUCUUCGACCCCUCCGCACUCAUUUCCAGCUCACAGGGGAGGACCUGCAGGACCUCUUCAGCUGAACGUGGCCAUCAGUUUGUGGAGUGACAGUGACGUUGACAAUGGACCCACUGUUACUGGUCACCAAGCAAGCAGCCUUUUUUUUUUUAAGCAUACUGGCUUUCAAUAAGACAGGUUACUUAGCAACAGCCAAAGCGAAGGAACCGCAAAGAGGAAAGAAGGCAGUAGCCAGUGAAAGAAGGCAGUAGCCAGAGAUGGUGCGUGCCUCCGAUGAGCUGCCCGGCACGUAUCUGGUUCCAUUCAAGCUCAGCUAAAAUAUCCCGGAGCAGACAUCUGAAGCCAGCCUGUCUCUGAUGUGAGCACCCCAUCUGCAGAGAAGACGGACGGAGAAGUCAAGAAGGCAAUUCUUCCCGAGAGCUAGGCGCUAAGCAGGUCCUAAAGCGUAAGCUAUGGGCAGAUAAUAACGCAAGCUGCUUUCAAGUGUGCUUCUGAGUCCAUCUCAGAACUAACCUAAGGCUGAUGCUCCAACAGAGACUGGUCUGGCCUGCUGAAGAGGCCAAACGCGGCUUCUCAUCCCCUCAAGACAACAGCCGUUCAGAAUUCUGUCACCUGAGCAACACAGAUGAUUGACUAAG